CAAAAUGACACAGAAAUUAACAAGUAUAGGUCACCGUACGGCCUUCAUCAAAGAGCAAAGCCCAUACCGCAUACUCAGCUUCAAAAGGCCCCGAAAUGACAAUGUAACACAAUGCAAACGAGAAAACUAGCGGCCUUAUUUAUGUACAAAAAAUGAACGAAAAACAAAUAUGUAACACAUAAACAAACGACAACCACUGAAUUACAG
rnacentral:lncRNA from 1 species